UUUUUAUAUAUGAGGUUCCCUAUAACAUUCUCGAAAUUUCCUGAAGUUCAAAUCCCUUCCCUAACUUUUCCAAAACCCUAAAUUUUCAGUAAAAGAGGUUCUUUCUUCUUGAGCUCGAUCUGGUGCGACUCUCUUUCCCUAUCUUCUUGAAUACUCAUAACAAAUUCCCAUAAAUCCAGAAUAUAGGAACCAUGGGUGCGUCUCUCUCUUGCGGCGUUGAGGCAACAGAGGCAAGAUAGUUGUCGCAAAAACACCGGUGACCACCAUCAACGAGGGCUUCUCUUUCACUUAGAUGUAAAUGGAGGCAGUGACUUUUCUCUCCCAAACAUAUAAGUUGAUUCAGUCCAUUGUAUUUCUCUCCCAAAGUUUACAUUGCUUAUUUCUGGCUUCUCUAUCGGACUAUCAGUACUUUAGCAGCUUACAUUCUGGUUUCUGAGGGGGAAACCAGUAAGACGGUCUCACAGUAAGUUGAAUAUGCAUUGCCGUUGCCUAAUCAAUGCAUUCGACAGCAAAGCUUCUGCUAAGUACAGUGAAGAAACUGCAGACACUGCUGGUAAACUGAUCAUUCACGGUACUGUAAUCUUACAGAAGAAGAAGACUGUGUCUGAUCGUUCUGCUUCUAAUGAGUAGAAAUUGUUUUACUGUAUUAUUUUCAAUUGUUAUGAUGUGACUCGUAACUUUUAGCUCUCGAUUUUUCGACGAAGAAGAUUUAUGUUCAGCUUGUUACUGAUACUGGUCUACAACUUAUAAAUUGAACUUUUUGGUGGUUGAUCACUUGAUCCAGUUGCAAAUGCUACAUAAUUGGAAUUAUUUAGCCUUUUAGGUUUGAAGUAAAAGUAUUACUUGUACAAGUACUACUCAAGUUGUACUUCUUUUGUAAAUUGUUGACAAUGUAUAUUACAUAUUUGUGGAUAUUUUUUAAUAUAAUUGAAAAUCGUAUAGUCUCUCA